GAGAUAUUCAGUCCAUGAGCUUGAGAGUCUUGAGCAUAGUGGGAUUGACAACACUGUAGCCUCCAUCGACCACAAGAUUAAGGCCGCUGACAUAGUUGGCAUCGUCGCUAGCCAAGUAGAGCGCAGCCUUGGCUAUGUCGUCGGCCUUAAGGACACGACCUUUGAGAUUGGCCCAGGUGGUGACCAUGGUCUCGAGCGCCUCCGCUUGCAUCGGGUCUCUGGACCCUGCAAUCCCGGUGGCCACGACGAAGGGGGCGACACAGUUGACUCUGAUCCCGUGUUGGCCGAGCUCGGCAGCUAGGUUCCUAACCAGCCCUAGGACAGCGCAUUUGGAGGCUGCGUAUGGGUGUGAUGAGAGGCCAGCAAUGUUGGUGGUUGCGCUGCUUGUGAAUAGAAUGCACCCAUUUUUCUCCGGUAUCAUUACUCUGGCUGCAUGCUUUGCUCCCCAAAAUGCUCCCAUCACGUUCACGCCCAACACCUUGUCCAAGUCAGAUUUUGUAACGUCCAAUAUGCCGCUAAAGGAACGGUCGAGAACGCCGGCGUUGCUGUACAUGAUGUCGAGCUUGCCAUGCCGGUGCACGGCGGCGUCCACCAGAUUGCUGACGUCGUCUUCCUUCGACACAUCGCAGUGGAUAUAGCUUACGUCAUCGCCGAGUUCGUCGGCGAUUUUUUGGCCGAUUUCGUCUUGGAUAUCGGCGAUUAUCACUUUCGCUCCAUUUUCAUGGAAAAUUCGCACUGCACUAGUUCCGAUCCCGCUUGCGCCUCCGGUGAUGAUCGCCACCUUUCCAUCCAGCCUUCUAAGAGGAGUCGGAGAGCGAUUAAGAGUCAUCUUCUUCAACAAGAAAUGCAGAAAUGAAGGAAGCGGUAGAAGGGAGAGAAAGAGAGAGCUUUGGAUUUUGCUUUGAAGGGUGAGAUUUUAUGAUACUUGCUGUU
rnacentral:misc_RNA from 1 species